CCGGUUAAUACUGGUGACUGGACACUAAAAAUCCAGUUACCACAGGCACUCGUGCCAGCCGGGGGUAUAGUUUGAGCAGGCAUUGUCCCCCACCACAAAUUUCUCUGGAGCUCUGCUUAGCUGUCAGGGAGGGAAGAAGCUCCCUCAGUCCCUCUCCUCCGCUGAGGCUGGAAGGCAGCUCCAGGACAUUUCCUGAGUCCUAGUGCCGGUAACCAUCAUCUUCUAUGUGUGCUGGGUCCCGUUUCUGGACAACUGGGAAGUGGCCAGACAAAGGAAUGCAGUUCCUCUUGAAUGAGGGGCUGGACUGGGGCUGCAGUUUGCCACUGUGGUGAGAAGCCAGACGAAGGACUGCUGGUUCCCUCAGAAGGGGAGAGACAACAGAGUUGGGGUACAGCUGGAGGGCCUGGCCCUGAAGAGGAUGCUGUGCUCCAGGAGCGCUGCAGAUCCCCACAGACAGUGGAGAAGCAGUGACGGAGAGUGAGACACCACAAGAGGAUGCUGCCCUGCUGAUGGACAGAACUAAUUCCCAGAGCAACCAGCAGGAGGCACCAUGGUGGCGCCUUUGCAGAAGAAGAGAAAAGAGGCACCAUGCUAGGAAGAGGAUAAUCAAUCCCAAAAGAUACAAACUGGCCAAUCUGCCAUUAGGAGAGAGCAAUACAUAUCCCCAUUUAUUCUGCAGAAAAGCUGGCUCCUGGGCUCAGCCAAAUGGGAUAAUUCCAUUCUUCUUGGAGGUUAUUAAAUUAAGAUAAGAUGGAAAUGAUGAAGCAGAAAAAGGAGGCGGCGAUUUGUUUAAGUUGCACAGACUCCACUCCAAGUCCAGUGCCUUCUCCACUGGACCACACUUCAGAGGUCUCAAGUUCUGGGUCUCCUCCUCCUUCCAGCCCUCACCCAUUCUCGCCAAAUGAACUCAAAGGGACAGAUCUUCAGCUAAUGUAAAUCAGGGUUGCUCUGUUGACUUCAAUGGAAUUAUACUGAUUAUGCCAUCUGAGAAUCUUGUUUUGGGCCAUCAUUGGAAAGCCAUCAGAAAUAUACUAGCCAGGCAAUUUAUGGGUGGUAUAGAUAACUUAGAAUGCCAACAACAUCCUCUGCUUUCACAGAAACAUCUGGGGCAAGCUUUUUAUUUCAUUGUGUCAUUUCCUAGAAGGCUACUGGAGUACUUUGACACAAACUUUGCAGAGAUUAUGUAUGACAAAUUUAAUAGAUUAGAUUUUUGCAGAGUCCAAUCAGUUGAUUGAAUUAUUUAAAACCCUCUAGUCAGUCUGCUUAGCUGUCCCAAAAUCUGUUCUUCUCUUUGUCCCAUUUUCUAUUUAAGCCACUUCACAGUGUGGCUGCCAUUUUUUUGGUCAAAAUAAUUUUUAAGCUGUUGAAAAUGCUGUUUUUCUUCAUUGUUACAUCUGAUACCUAUUGACAAAAACACAGCAGAUCAGCUAUAGGGAGCUCAGCCAACUUUAACAUAAGACGCCUGUGUUGCUAUAAUUGGAAUGAUGAAAAGCAGUUUUCCCCUCUCUGCCCUAUGGGCUACUGAUGUUUCUAUCCUUAGAAAGGUCAACUGCUUUCUACAAGAGCAUAAAUGAAACUUCCAACUGCACUCUACAGAGCAAAGCUUUGGCCCCAUAACUCACAUUGUAAAAUCUGAUACAAAUGCAAAUCUGUUGUCCUGGGGGAGCCAUGGAUACUGUGAAAAAGUCAAGUAAUUUCAUUCCAUUUUCCCCACUGUCACAGCAAGGACAAAAACUCAUGCCAACAAAAUUAAUUUAUUCCUGUGAUGAAGAUAGUAACAGGAAGAGAAAAAUGGUAGGGAAAACAAAUGUAACCUUAUGACAUUUCUAACACAGUGACAAGAAUAAAAAAGGCCUGUUUUUAAUAGCAGCCCAUCACAUCAUCCUGUUAUUGUCAGAGCUGACAUUAUUUAUUCUACAUAAGUCACCACUCUCAAGUCUGCAAAAAAGCCAGAGUUACAGAAAGGAGGACAAAUGUGACACAGACUAAAAUACACUAAAAAAGUCUUGUGAGAGUCCAAGGACGGACCAGUGUAUGGUUUCUCCACCAAUGCUAAAAAAUAAAAUUGAACCAAAAAUAUACAAAGACCACUAAUGAUGUGGAUGUAAUGAGCUCACCCCAGUGCCGUGAGGUUCAGUGGGAUGAAUCUUUGUCACCCUCCAGAAGCCUGUUCACUCAGUUUAAGAGAGAGAGAGGAAGGCAUGUUUUUGUCCAUUCAUUGACAGGACUAUAAUACAGAAUUAAGGCUGACAUCAGCCGUUUCUUCACACUCUUGUUUUGUCAUAGAGCAGCAAUCCUGUGGCACAUGCACCAGGCACAGUCUGGAGCACAUCAUAGAGGAUUGAGACACUUCGUAGGACCAACUUCAACCCCUAAUAACUCUCCCAAUAUUGCUUCCCCAAAGUGGUUGUGGAUGCCAGACACUAGCUGAAAUCAAACACAACUAAGCAAUAUCAACUUAGGACAGAUCUGUGACAUCAUUUGGGCCUCAGAUGCAUGCAAAAAUGUUACAAGAACAGGAAAAUUUUACUGACAUGUUCUUUUAUUAAAAAGGUACUGAUUCUCAGGAACCCCUUGACCAAACGACACUAAUUUUGAACUAUUAAACUUACCACAUAUUUCAACAACACACCCGAAUGCUCAGGGCAAUCUGAGCAUGCAUGUAGAUUUUAGAGUCCUUAGAAAAAUCAGCUGUUAAACAAUAAACUCCAGUCAGUCUUGACUUGUGCUUAUCCAUAAUACAGGGUGCUGCAAGAUGAAAAAAAUUGAGGACAGUGGUUCUCAAGUUAGGGUCCCUAGACCACUGAUGGACUGCAAAGUAGUAUCUUUCAAAACUGCAAGGAAUGCUCAGGAAAAACAAGAGGCUGGUCCACCAUCUAGAACAUGUCAAUUGUUCACGCAUCCAUCUUCAAGCAAAGCCUCCUCCAGGCCUGCCACAGCUCCCUUGUGAACCUCUGCCUGUUUGGGUUGCUUCACAGAGAUUUAAGUUCUUUAUUAAUCAGUCCCAUUCAUUAUUUCACAUACCUUUGCUGUAAAUUUAACUCAUCUGCUGAGGUCACCAACAUUGUAGGGGGCAGCAAACACAUACGAGAACAGAGUCAAACUGGAAAGAGACCCUUCAGACAUUUUUGCAUUAAGGGGCUGUAAGCAAGGAGCAGAGAUUCAGGACAGUCACUACAGGGGACAAUAUCAAGGUAUCCCAUGGAAAAUGAAUUAUGCAGGAAGCAAUAGAUGGAGUGUCCAAGUUCAAUACAAAGACAAUGAAAAAACCCAUCUGAGCUAAGCUAGAAAAACCCACUGACUCCCUAGCUUCCAUUCCAGCACUGGAAUAUGUGUAAAUAAAACAAGCUGCACAGAGAAUACAUCCAGACUCCAUGUCACUGGUUUCUCCAACAGGAAAGUUACAUGCAAGACCCUACAGCUACUACCACUUGGCAGAGGGGUAACAAUAGAAAGUCAGUGAUGGGAUUCAAGGACAGCACAGGCUGGAAUGACAAGGGCAGGCAGAGAAAGGAUGUGGGUGCAUUUACAAACCAGCCUUUUUUAAAAUGACACACACAAAGUCAGACACAAGGUGGGUGAGGUAACAUCUUUUAUUGGACCAACUUCUGUCAGUGAGAAAGACAAACUUUCAAGCUUAUGUGGUGUUCUUCAGGUCUGGAAAACUAAAGCUAUGUCUACACUACCACUUUGGCAAUCAGGGUUGUGGAAAAAAAAAAUAUUCCCCUGAAUGUCAUAAGUUUCAACAACUGAAGCGCCGAUGUGGACAGUGCUAUGCUGGCAGGAGACACUCUCCUGCCAGCAUAGCUGCUGUCACUCGCUGGAGGUGGUUUCAUUAUGUUGACUGAAGAGCUAAUUACAUGCUGUCUGUGGAAAAGGCAUAAUAAAAGAUAUUCAUUAUAAGAAAUUAAACAAACUACACUUAUCUUAGAGGAAAAGCCUACUUAUAUUGUAGAUGUAUCAAAACUGGAGCCUUGUCAGAGACCCUUCAAAUUUCAAGAGGGGUAGAGUGGCCAAUUUUUAUAUUGUUUCAUUCAAGUAAGUUUCCCCAUAACCAACACGUCCCAUACUUCACAAUUUAAAUUGUCCAACAUGGGAAGAGAAGGACUGACUCUGGGAUGCAAUAAAACGUCUGAGGGCAACCAACAGCAAGUGCAGAAGAUCAGCUUGUCAUGGGUGGACAGUAGCUGCACUAAGGAAAGCAAGAGGUAUUAAUUGGUACAGCAGAGACUCAAGAUCAGGCUGACUAUAUUGCCAGGAUGGCAAGUAAGCCAUGGCUAGAGUAAAAUAUGUAAUUCACUGUUACAAGAUCAGUACCAACUAUCCUGGGAGAGAUUUCAGGUACUUCAGACCCAGUACAAAUAAAUGAGGUCCUUCCCCAAAAAUGCAUUCUAAUAGGCCAAGACUUAUGAAGAUGCACUUGUGAGGACAGGUAGAAUCAGAGCACUGCCAAUCACAUAGGAUUUAUAAUUUCAUGCCUUCAGCAGUUACAACAGGCCAUCUUGUCUAAUUUGAUAUCAGCAUGAAGAAAUUGCAAAUGGUGACCAGGCAUCAACAGACAAGCAACAUGUAUUCAUUUCCCAACACCCCUUAGGAAAAAAAAUUACUCCCUGUUUUACUGAGACUAACAAACACAUUCCUCGCUUUAAUAAUGUGCCAAGUGAACUCUGAAUGGUGUCAGCAGCACCUUGGCUGCUGCUGUCUUAUUACAUUCAAAUAAUAUUCAGAAAUUCACUUAGGAAAGUUUAAGAAAUCGUCUCUCAAAAUAUCUAAUACGUGUACUGGCAUUUUUGACAUUACCUUUUUUAAAUUUCCUUUGUAUCUACUUUUAAGCAUCGAUCUUAGAGCAGGAGUCUCAAAGUCCUGGCCCACGGGCCAUCUGCAGCCCAAGAACCUCCCCACUGCGGCCCGUGGAAGAGAGAUCAAUGCAGCCAUGCUGCCAAAAAUGUCUGCUGCUGGCACCGCCCCCCACAGCUCCCAUUGGCUGGGGGAGAGGGACGAAGGUACCAUCACUAGUCGCUAGACAGAGUCAGCCAUGGAGGCCACAUCACUCCCCCCCAC